GCGGCGACGGCGAGGCGCGCGACUGUCGCACCUCAGUGACGUCAAGCGCGUUGCCUGGAGACAGCGCCCGUCCUUCCCCAGAGCUGCGCCUUGGCUCACGUGGUCUGCUGCUCCUGGGGACCUGAGAGGGAAGACCCAGGCGGGGGCCGUGCCCAAGUGGAGGCCUCGCCGGGCAGGCUCCUGGAGGAGCCCUGGUAUCCCUUGAACAUGCAUACCUUUCCCAGAGAGAGGGACAUGGACCGCGCUGUGCGAGGGACCCCGUCUUCUGCAACAGGAGGGAACAGAGAGGAGAACUCAGGGCUCAUAAGGAUGGACCUGCUUGAGGAGCAGAGAGGGCAGGUCAAACUACCAGGCCUCAGUCUUCCUACCCAAACACACCUCAUCUGGACCCCUAUCUCUGGUUGCAGAAGUAAGGAAUGAACUGCCUGCUAGGAACACACAUUCGUUCUGCUGUGCUCCACCUGCUCCAAGAUUGAAAGGAACCUGCCUCCAGCAGAGGGCACUGGAGAGGGCCGGGGGGCAUCUCUUUCUCAAAGCUGCCUGAUCAAGCCAAUGCAAUCUAAAGUCAAGUUCAUAAAGAGAGGUCUUAACAAAAUUAGGUAAGUAAGGAUGAAGGAGGGGAAAGCAGGAAGGACACUGCUAUAGGUCAGUCUUCUUGACAACAGUUGACCUGCCCAAUUUAUUCCAUCCAAUCAAUAACUUCAUCCAACUUACGGUUUGGUAUGUCGGAAAGAGGUUUCUCAACCAGGUGUCCUGGGGCCACAUGAGGAUAACACCAACCAUAUUUUCUCUCCUUUACCUCCUUGGGAUUCUGGGUCUUGUAUCAUCAUUUAUUUAUUUUUCACAUCAUUCUGGGUGCAAUGUUCCACAGCCUCAGUAACUCUUUUAAUUCAACAAUGACAAAAAGUACGCAAAUAUCUGAGCACAUCCUCCAAGCAUGGAGAAAUGUCUACACUUCAGAAUUCACAAAUGCCCCAUUCAAUCCUUUUGUUUUUGUAACCUUGAACUUUCACAUUUAAAAUAAACCAUCUA